rnacentral:ncRNA from 2 species
AAGUGCAGAAGAGGAGCGUUAACUAGGUAGUAAGUUUGAGGGGACCAAAACCCUUUGAUGACUUAUGAGGGAGAUUAACGCCGAGAUAUUUAAAGCCAUUUGGACGGGCUUGAAUGUUGGUUGUACAGGCUGAAUCCUGUCGAUUGUCACCUAUGUUUAUUAUGGUGGAGAGCUUCUGGUGAC